AAAGUACUCCCUCCGUCCCAAAACUCUUGUCUUAGAUUUUUCUAGAUACGGAUGUAUCAAGUCACAUUUUAGUAUUAGAUACAUCCGUAUCUAGACAAAUCUAAGACAAGAAAUUUGGGACAGAGGGAGUAGUUG
rnacentral:pre_miRNA from 1 species